rnacentral:rRNA from 1 species
ACGAAGGCCAGGGGAGCGAACCGGAUUAGAUACCCGGGUAGUCCUGGCUGUAAACGAUGUGGGCUAGGUCUUGCAGGUCCUACGGGGGCCUGCAGGGCCGGACCGAAGGGGUUAAGCCCACCGCCUGGGGAGUACGGCCGCAAGGCUGAAACUUGAAGGAAUUGGCGGGGGGGCACCACAAGGGGUGGGACCUGCGGUUCAAUUGGAUUCAACGCCGGGAACCUCACCCGGGCCAACGGCAGGAUGAAGGUCAGCCUGAAGGGCUUACCUGACAAGCCGAAGGGAGGUGCAUGGCCGCCGACAGCUCGUGCCGUGAGGUGUCCGCCUAAGCGCGGCAACGAGCGAGACCCGUGCCCCCAGUUGCCACCGCACCCUCCGGGGUGCGAGCACUCUGGGGGGACUGCCGGCGAUGAGCCGGAGGAAGGGGCGGGCGACGGUAGGUCAGUAUGCCCCUAAUGCCCGGGGCUACACGCGGGUCACAAUGGCCGGGACAAUGGGAUGCGACCCCGAAAGGGGGAGCAAAUCCCCUAAACCCGGUCGUAGUCCGGAUCGAGGGCUGCAACCCGCCCUCGUGAAGGCGGAAUCCCCAGUAAUCGGGCGUCAACAACGCCCGGUGAAUACGUCCCUGCUCCUUGCACACACCGCCCGUCAAGCCACCCAAGCGAGCUCCGGGUGAGGCCCUGCUUAUUGGCAGGGACGAGCCCGGGGUUCGUGAGGGGGGCUAAGUCGUAACAAGGUAGCCGUAGGGGAACCUACGGCUGGAUCACCUCCUU